GGGUAUAUAGCGCAGUGGUAGGGCAUGUGCUAAGCACGCACAAGGUCCUGGGUUCAAUCCCCAGUACCUU
rnacentral:tRNA from 1 species